AAACAGAGUUCGGGCUUGUCGGUUUGAUACAGUCAAAGUCAGUGUUUUAGUAGUAGUAGUACAACUAGUAGUUGUAGUAGUAGUAGCAAAGACCUGUGGCAGAGAGAGGUCGCUCUGAGAUGUGGCAGCGCUUUUGAUUUCCUCUAACAAGGUGUGAAGGUGUGGACUCUGCUAUGAAUCAAGCUGAGGACCCAGAGGACGGAGUCCCUCCCUCUGAAGCCCCUCUGUGUGGGGAACAUGACAGCCAGACCAAAGCUCAGAGGACCCAUCAGAGACCAGAAGAAGAUCUAAGGAGACUUCUACAGGUCAGAGGACCGUCUGAAGAGCUUUGCAGUACUUUCAUUAGAAUUUGUAUUUUCGAUGCAGAGGUCUGCAGACGUUGUUUUUCUGACCCACAGUAAGAAGUAAAAACAGAUGAAACUGAUGACUAACUGUCACUCAACUAAUAAACUGUCCAUCGACAGUCUUCAGCAUCUGGUUUUCAUGAUGAUCAAUGACAGAAGCUGGAGGAAUUACAGUUUGUGUUCUACAUUCAGUCACAUCUUACUGUGUGCAAGCAGGCUGCUUUACUGGCUGUUCUUACCCACAAUCCUUUGCACAGCAGGUAUAUGAGCCAGAGGGUUCAACUAGUCUACAUGUAGAAGAAGACCAGGUGACAAAGAGGGACGUGCACGGGUCCUCUGG
ensembl:lncRNA